rnacentral:rRNA from 1 species
UACGGAGGAUGCAAGCGUUAUCCGGAAUGAUUGGGCGUAAAGCGUCCGCAGGUGGCAAUGUAAGUCUGCUGUCAAAGCGUCUGGCUCAACCAGAUAAAGGCAGUGGAAACUACAUAGCUAGAGUAAGGUAGGGGUAGAGGGAAUUCCAGGUGUAGCGGUGAAAUGCGUAGAGAUCAGGAAGAACACCGGUGGCGAAAGCGCUCUGCUGGACCUUAACUGACACUGAGGGACGAAAGCUAGGGGAGCGAAUGGG